AUUGAACGCUGGCGGCAGGCCUAACACAUGCAAGUCGAACGGUAGCACAGAGAGCUUGCUCUCGGGUGACGAGUGGCGGACGGGUGAGUAACGUCUGGGAAACUGCCCGAUGGAGGGGGAUAACUACUGGAAACGGUAGCUAAUACCGCAUAACGUCGCAAGACCAAAGUGGGGGACCUUCGGGCCUCACACCAUCGGAUGUGCCCAGAUGGGAUUAGCUGAUAGGUGGGGUAAUGGCUCACCUAGGCGACGAUCCCUAGCUGGUCUGAGAGGAUGACCAGGCAAACUGGAACUGAGAAACGGUCCAGACUCCUACGGGAGGCAGCGGUGGGGAAGAUUGCACAAUGGGCGCAAGCCUGAUGCAGCCAGGCCGCGUGUAUGAAGAAGGCCUUCGGGUUGUAAAGUACUUUCAGCGGGGAGGAAGGCGGUGAAGUUAAUAACUUCACCGAUUGACGUUACCCGCAGAAGAAGCACCGGCUAACUCCGUGCCAGCCGCCGCCGUAA
rnacentral:rRNA from 1 species